CAUGUUGAUGGUACUAACAAGUUUGUCACUGAAGACAACAUAUUCUCAGAAGAUGAAAUUACCAAUUUUCAGCAGCAUAUAUUGGAGAUAAUUGGAAGUACUCAGAUGGCUGGAAGGCGUUUUACUCAAAAUGGAUCAAGCAGUACUCAGAUAUACGCACAAAUGACGCUGCCAUAUGUUUCAAACCAGGGUGGAUACAUGGAUCUGAUGAUGGAACAGAUACGUAACUCGCAAGGAGAAUCAGUGAGUGAACUAGGCAAUGAAAUGCAAAGUGCCCUAUGCACACAAAAUGAAACCAUGAACAAAAACCUACUAGUGGCCCCAUGUGAGACAUACACAUAGAUGAUUCUUGAGGAGGACUCAACGCUUGCAAAUGCAGACAUAUCCAAGGGUGGAUACAUGGAUCUGAUGAUGGAACAGAUAUAUAACUCGCAAGGAGAAUCAGUGAGCGAAGAAGGCAAUGAAAUGCAA